GUCGUCGGCCAUCUCCACCUCCUUAAACCACCGAUUCACCAGCUCUACCAUAACUUGUCCCAAAAAUACGGCCCAAUCUUCUCCCUCCGAUUCGGCUCCCGCCGCAUCGUGGUCAUAAGUUCCUCUUCUCUCGUCCAAGAAUCAUUCACUGGCCAAAACGAUAUCAUUUUAACAAACCGACCUCUCAACAUGGCGGCCAAAUACAUCAAUUAUAACGGCACCACUGUCGGUACCUCACCUUACGGCGACCACUGGCGUAACCUCCGUCGAAUUUGCACGGUCGAAAUCCUCUCAAACCACCGCCUCAGCAACUUUCUCCACAUCCGCAAAGAAGAAAUCUAUCGGAUGCUCACGCACCUCUCACGUGACACUAACGCCAAUGGUUUCACUCUUGUAAACCUAAGACCACUUCUUUCCGACCUAGCGUUUAACAACAUUGUCAGAAUGGUCACAGGAAAGAUAUACUACGGGAACGAUGAUGUUUCCAAAGAGAAAGAAGAAGAAGCAUUGUUGUAUAAGAAGCUCGUGUCUGAUAUAGCUGCAGCAGCCGGCGCGAGUCACGCUGGCGAUUACUUGCCGGUGCUGAAACUGUUCGGAAACAAGUACGAGACCAAAGUAAAGUCUACUGGCAAAGCCGUCGAUGAGUUCUUGCAGCGUUUGCUCGAUGAGUGUAAGAGAGACAUGGAAAGUAACACAAUGGUAAGUCAUUUGCUCUCUCUCCAACAACAGGAACCAGAGUAUUACACUGACGUUACCAUCAAAGGCCUUAUGAUGGUAAGUACUGUAUAAAUCUCCAUAUUAUAGUAAUUAAUUAAAUCUCUUUUGAGUUAUUUUACGUAAAUUAAUAUUUAAAACCCACCAAAAGGGAAUGAUAAACGCCGGGACGGAGACAACCGCCGUAGCACUCGAGUGGGCGAUGACGAAUUUGUUAAAACAUCCAAAAGUGUUAGAGAAAGC
rnacentral:lncRNA from 1 species